CCACUUAUUGGAUUGGUGGUGUAAGCGUGUAGGCCGUGUGGUAGGUAAAUCCGCCGCACAUAUGGUUGAGACGUGAUGCGUAGACCCAAUGGGGUUGAUGGUGGUGAUCCUGUACUGUCGAGAAAAGCCUCUAGCGAUGUGUGUGUAUGGCCCGUACCCUAAACCGACACAGGUAGUCAGGUUGAAAAUACUAAGGCGUUCGGGUGAACUGUGGUUAAGGAAUUCGGCAAAAUGCCCCCGUAACUUCGGGAGAAGGGGGGCCCCACGAUGUGAAGGUCCAUGCGGCUGGAAGCGUUGUGGGGUCGCAGAGAAUAGAGGGAAGCGACUGUUUAUCAAAAACACAGGUCCAUGCGAAGACGUGAAUUUGAUGUAUAUGGACUGACGCCUGCCCGGUGCUGGAAGGUUAAGAGGACCGGUUAGUCAACUUUGUUGGCGAAGCUGAGAAUUUAAGCCCCAGUAAACGGCGGUGGUAACUAUAACCAUCCUAAGGUAGCGAAAUUCCUUGUCGGGUAAGUUCCGACCUGCACGAAUGGAGUAACGAUUUCCCUACUGUCUCCACCAUGAACUCGGUGAAAUUGCACUACGAGUAAAGAUGCUCGUUACGCGCGGCAGGACGAAAAGACCCCGGGACCUUCACUAUAGCUUGGUAUUGGUGUUUGGUUCGGUUUGUGUAGGAUAGGUGGGAGACUUAGAAGCCGUCACGCUAGUGGUGGUGGAGUCGUUGUUGAAAUACCACUCUGAUCGGAUUGAGCAUCUAACCUUGGCCCAUGAUCUGGGUUGGGGACAGUGCCUGGUGGGUAGUUUAACUGGGGCGGUUGCCUCCCAAAAUGUAACGGAGGCGCCCAAAGGUUCCCUCAGCCUGGUUGGCAAUCAGGUGGUGAGUGUAAGUGCACAAGGGAGCUUGACUGUGAGACAGACAUGUCGAGCAGGGACGAAAGUCGGGACUAGUGAUCCGGCACCUACUUGUGGAUGUGGUGUCGCUCAACGGAUAAAAGGUACUCCGGGGAUAACAGGCUGAUCUUCCCCAAGAGUCCAUAUCGACGGGAUGGUUUGGCACCUCGAUGUCGGCUCGUCGCAUCCUGGGGCUGGAGUAGGUCCCAAGGGUU
rnacentral:rRNA from 1 species